CUUGGUCAUUUAGAGGAAGUAAAAGUCGUAACAAGGUUUCCGUAGGUGAACCUGCGGAAGGAUCAUUCAUAAUAAGUGUUUUAUGGCACUUUUUAAAUCCAUAUCCACCUUGUGUGCAAUGUCAGUCGAUCUUCUUCAUGGAGAUCGGCCAAACAUCAACCUUAUUUUUUAACUCUUUGUCUGAAAAAUAUUAUGAAUAAACAAUUCAAAAUACAACUUUCAACAACGGAUCUCUUGGCUCUCGCAUCGAUGAAGAACGCAGCGAAAUGCGAUACGUAAUGUGAAUUGCAGAAUUCAGUGAAUCAUCGAAUCUUUGAACGCAUAUUGCGCUCUUUGGUAUUCCGAAGAGCAUGCUUGUUUGAGUAUCAGUAAACACCUCAAAGCUUUUGGAUUUUUUUUGAAAGCUUUGGACUUGAGCAAUCCCAACGCCAAUCUUUUUCAGAUCGGCGGCGGGUUGCUUGAAAUGCAGGUGCAGCUGGACUUUCUCCUGAGCUAAAAGCAUAUUCAUUUAGUCCCGUCAAACGGAUUAUUACUUUUGCUGCAGCUAACAUAAAGGGAGUUUGACCGUAUUGGCUGGCUGAUGCAGGAUUUUACAAGGGUCGGCAACGAUUCUUGUUAAACUCGAUCUCAAAUCAAGUAAGACUACCCGCUGAACUUAAGCAUAUCAAUAAGCGGAGGA
rnacentral:rRNA from 1 species